rnacentral:lncRNA from 1 species
GCGAUGCUCGUCACUUGAUUAAGCCAAACUAAUGAGGCACGACCGGGGCCAAUGGGAACGUGUGGGACUCAGGCCUUGCAAAAUCUGGUGGAAACCUGCAGCAUUCACUGGGGGCUGGGUUUUGUUUUGCCAGGCAGAGCCUCAGGAUGCCACGGGGCGGAUGUGCGGUAACAGGUGCUGUCGUACAAAUGAACCUUGUGGAGAGGGUUUGCCAUCACCAGCAGCAGCACCCCCCAAAUUGCCUUCUUCCAGCAGUAAUUACAUGACUUGCUGUUUUGGAGAACCUGAUAGAGAAGUUGCCUGUACUUUCCCCUGUACUUUACCUGCUUGUACGUUCCAGGUCAGAGGAGGUUUGCAUUUUUGUCAUAUUGCAAUACUUGCCUUUAUGUAAGUGCUGCUAAGAAUAAAAUUAUCAGUGGGAG